AUUUAAGUGCAUGUUUGAGAAAGAAUAUAAACUAUGACCAAUCAAUUGAGGCGUCUCAAUACGGUCUACAGGGCAAAGACAUACAUGGUCACCGAAUGCAAUGAAAUUUAUAUUUGCAGGGAAAUGACAGCGGCCAGAUGCAUUCUGCCGGGAACCAGAUUUUAAGCAACGCUGUCCUCUCCUGGUACAAGCCUUUACAAAACCCACUUGAGCCUCUGUGCCCAGUCUGGACACACUCGUCUGAUUUCACAGUGAGCCAGGGAACUACUGGAGCGUGAAGAACUUUCCAUCUUUUCCUCCGUUCUGUGGUUCUGGGUUUUCACUUGAAACUCUUCAUCCAUUUGGAAUCGACUUUGGCCCCUAACGGGCCGGUUCCCAGGUGGUAGCAGGAGCCCCGUCUCACCAGCGUGGGAGCGCAGCCGGGAGGCUCAGGCGGCCAAGGUCAGACAGAGAGCUGGGGGACCACACGGACUCAAGUCCAGUUACUCUUUACUAGACUCCAGCUGCCCCACAGGAGUCUUCGUUUUCUUAAGCCCUCACCUAAAAGCUCUGAAAACAUUAUGGAACGGACUAACUAUCAAAAGAAGCCGAUUAUUCAGGGAAAGUAAUUUCAUGUGAUCGCCAGAUCUCAUCGUGGAGAAUAUCCCAUCUCAGCUUUUCUGGGGAAGGCUCUCACAGACGUCAAGUGUGUGUUCUGGAGAACAGCGG
rnacentral:lncRNA from 1 species